AACGCGAAGAACCUUACCCAGGCUUGAACAGCCAGUGACCACUCCUGAAAAGGAGCUUCCGCAAGGACACUGGUAGAGGUGCUGCAUGGCUGUCGUCAGCUCGUGUCGUGAGAUGUUGGGUUAAGUCCCGCAACGAGCGCAACCCUUGUCUGCUGUUGCCAUCACGUUAUGGUGGGCACUCUGCAGAGACUGCCGGUGAUAAACCGGAGGAAGGUGGGGAUGACGUCAAGUCAGCAUGGCCUUUAUGUCUGGGGCUACACACGUGCUACAAUGGCAGAUACAAACCGUCGCGAGACCGCAAGGUGGAGCUAAUCGGAGAAAGUCUGUCUCAGUUCGGAUUGUCGGCUGCAACUCGCCGGCAUGAAGUUGGAAUCGCUAGUAAUCGCGGAUCAGCACGCCGCGGUGAAUACGUUCCCGGGCCUUGUACACACCGCUACAGU
rnacentral:rRNA from 1 species